rnacentral:lncRNA from 1 species
GUCUCUCCACAUGUCAGAAGCUAUACUAGUCCUCCAUUCAUUAGCAUUCUCUCAUUGUUGCUCUUGAGUUUCAAAAACUUGUUCCAAAUUAUCUCCUUGAUUGAGUGGUAACGAUGAAGAUAGUGAAGACUCGUUAUCUAGUUCAAUAUGAAAUUCAUCUGAACGACACUCCUUACGAAGAAAAUUGUGGAGUCCUACACAAGCU